rnacentral:tRNA from 1 species
GUGGGUAUAGCUCAGUGGCAGAGCGCAUGCUUAGCAUGCAUGAGGUCCCAGGUUCAAUCCCCACUACCUCCA